GAAUUUGCAGUGACCAGAAAAAAAUUGACAUGCAGUUUUUCACAUAUUAGAAGUAUUAGGUAACUAUUCAGGCACAAGUAUAGUGCCCCCUCAUAAUUUAACUACAAAAUACUAUAGCAUACAACAAGAACACAGAAACACGCAGAACGCGACACAAGAGUUGUAAGGGCCAUAAGUUGACUCUUUAACUAGUUGUAAAGCACCCAUAAUAGAGAAGCAAAAGCCUACUUUUGCCCAGCUGCUAGGUGUACAAAAUGGAAUUUGGAAUCAGCUGCCUCAAACUCUACGAAUAUGCUUUAGUCAUGUGUCCCCCCUUAACCGAGCAAUUAGUUCAUCCUUCCUUCCUCUCAGUGAAAGACCUUUCUCCUUUAACAAAGCCCGUAGCUUCUCAACAGUCAUAUUUUGUAUUUCAGGUGCACGAUUUUUUGAAGUUCCUUGGGCAGAGGCAGCAUGGUUACUGGUGGUAGCCUUCUUGGCUGAUGCCCUACUAUCCAAUGCUUUUUCAGCCGCUCUUUUUCUACCAUUGUCAUUUGAGGAAACCCCCUUGCCUUCUUUUGAACUACAUUCACCUCUUUGCUUCUUAAGCAUGAGAGACCUAAUCAAUAUGUUUUGCUGGUUGGUCUUAAUAAGCUGGUCCUCCGGAGGUGACGUUUCGUGAUCGCAAACAUAUACUCGCAUUCCACCCGGAGUAGAGGAGAGGACGUUGGAGGAGAAAAGGCCGCGAGAAGGGAGGCCGGCUAGGUAUUUGGCCGCACCGGAAGUUGUGGCAUUGUUCGGAGAAAUGGAUGAUGAGGUAUCCUCCAUAGUUGCCGCUCUGCAAAACUGAUUCAAGUUUAG
rnacentral:misc_RNA from 1 species